CUGCACGAGCUACCCGGGCUUCUCUGAUAGAUCCGUGACGUGAAUGUCCCAAUGCACGUGCGAAAACCACGCCGUUCGUGUUGCAGUUUAGCCCUAAUUUUCAAUGGCUCAAGCUGUGUCAAAGAAACGGCAAAAUUC